rnacentral:rRNA from 1 species
UUGGAGGGCAAGUCUGGUGCCAGCAGCCGCGGUAAUUCCAGCUCCAAUAGCGUAUAUUAAAGUUGCUGCAGUUAAAAAGCUCGUAGUUGAAUUUCGGGGUCAGUAGGUUGGUCAUGCCACUGGUAUGUACUGGUCUCACUGAUUCCUCCUUCCUGAUGAGCUGUAAUGCCAUUAAUUUGGUGUUGCGGGGAAUCUGGACUGUUACUUUGAAAAAAUUAGAGUGUUUAAAGCAGGCUAACGCCUGAAUACAUUAGCCUGGAAUAAUGAAAUAGGACGUUCGAUCCUAUUUUGUUGGUUUCUAGGAUUGACGUAAUGAUUAAUAGGGAUAGUUGGGGGCAUUAGUAUUCAAUUGUCAGAGGUGAAAUUCUUGGAUUUAUUGAAGACUAACUACUGCGAAAGCAUUUGCCAAGGAUGUUUUCAUUAAUCAAGAACGAAAGUUAGGGGAUCGAAGACGAUCAGAUACCGUCGUAGUCUUAACCAUAAACUAUGCCGACUAGGGAUCGGAUGAUGUUAAUUUUUUAAUGACUCAUUCGGCGCCUUACGGGAAAC